rnacentral:rRNA from 1 species
AUUGAACGCUGGCGGCAGGCCUAACACAUGCAAGUCGAGCGGGGUUUUCGGACCUAGCGGCGGACGGGUGAGUAAUGCGUAGGAAGCUACCCGAUAGAGGGGGAUACCAGUUGGAAACGACUGUUAAUACCGCAUAAUGUCUACGGACCAAAGUGUGGGACCUUCGGGCCACAUGCUAUCGGAUGCGCCUACGUGGGAUUAGCUAGUUGGUGAGGUAAUGGCUCACCAAGGCGACGUUCCCUAGCUGGUUUGAGAGGAUGAUCAGCCACACUGGAACUGAGACACGGUCCAGACUCCUACGGGAGGCAGCAGUGUGGAAUAUUGGACAAUGGGCGCAAGCCUGAUCCAGCCAUGCCGCGUGUGUGAAGAAGGCCUUCGGGUUGUAAAGCACUUUCAGUAGGGAGGAAGCGUUGUGUGUUAAUAGUACACAGCGUUGACGUUACCUACAGAAGAAGCACCGGCUAACUCUGUGCCAGCCGCCGCCGUAACAC